CCUACGGGAGGCAGCAGUGAGGAAUAUUGGUCAAUGGGCGCAAGCCUGAACCAGCCAAGUCGCGUGAGGGAUGACGGUCCUAUGGAUUGUAAACCUCUUUUGUCGGGGAGCAAGGCCCGCCACGUGUGGCGGGAAGGAGAGUACCCGAAGAAAAAGCAUCGGGUAACCCCGUGCCAGCAGCCGCGGUAAUACGGAGGAUGCGAGGGUUACCCGGGUUUUUUGGGUUUAAAGGGUGCGUAGGCGGAAGGUUAAGUCAGUGGUCAAAUGUGGGUGCCCAACACCGGCCUGCCGUUGAAACUGGUCUGCUUGAGUGAACGAGAGGUAUGCGGAAUGCGUGGUGUAGCGGUGAAAUGCAUAGAUAUCACGCAGAACUCCGAUUGCGAAGGCAGCAUACCGGCGCUCAACUGACGCUGAGGCACGAAAGCGUGGGGAUCGAACAGGAUUAGAUACCCCUGUAGUC
rnacentral:rRNA from 1 species